AAGUGAAGCCAAAAAGUGGGGGGAAAGCAUGCCCUUAGUAGUCGUGGCUUUAGAAAGAUUGACGAGCUCUUCAGCCAAUGAGGCAGAACCUAGCCACACCCAGUUUCGUAAAUUAAAGACCGUGGAUUCUUCGCGCGCUUUUUCCUUCACUUUUUCCCGCCAUUUCAUUUUAUUUCUACAUUUUCUAUCAUCUUGUAGACGGCUGCAAUAUUGUUCCGAGAAGCAAUUUUUAUUCCUGCCAAAAUGGUAAAUUCCUGCGUCGCUUUCGGCUGUACAAAUAGAAGAAUAGCAGGAUCCGGUAUUACAUUUCACAGAAUCACCAGAUACCAAAACAUAAAUUCAAGUACCAUAGAGGCAUUGAGAUUUCCAUUACAGCAGCAGAUGCUUGAUCAAGAUCAUUUUAAAAAUCAAAUAACUAGGAAUAUUUUUCCUUAUGCUGUCAUCUUCUGAAGACAUUUCCUCCACUGCAUUAACUGCAUUUAGGAGUAUCAUUUGUUGUUGGCCUAUCUGUUCAUAUUUCAAGACAUUGCUCAACAUCCAAGACAUUAUCAUUUGGAAAAUUUGUUUGUGACUGGAUCUGUUCAUGUUUCAUCGUGUUCGUGAAACAAGAUUCUAUUGUAUAAUUUUAUGAAAUUCUAAACAUAAAUAUAUAUAAAAAA